AUUGAACGCUGGCGGCAUGCCUUACACAUGCAAGUCGAACGGUAACAGGUCUUCGGAUGCUGACGAGUGGCGAACGGGUGAGUAAUACAUCGGAACGUGCCCGAUCGUGGGGGAUAACGGAGCGAAAGCUUUGCUAAUACCGCAUACGAUCUACAGAUGAAAUCCGGGGACCGCAAGGCCUUGCGCGGACGGAGCGGCCGAUGGCAGAUUAGGUAGUUGGUGGGAUAAAAGCUUACCAAGCCGACGAUCUGUAGCUGGUCUGAGAGGACGACCAGCCACACUGGGACUGAGACACGGCCCAGACUCCUACGGGAGGCAGCAGUGGGGAAUUUUGGACAAUGGGCGAAAGCCUGAUCCAGCCAUGCCGCGUGCAGGAUGAAGGCCUUCGGGUUGUAAACUGCUUUUGUACGGAACGAAAAGACUCUUUCUAAUAAAGAGGGUCCAUGACGGUACCGGAAGAAUAAGCACCGGCUAACUACGUG
rnacentral:rRNA from 1 species